UCACAAAAAAAAUCUUUUGACUUUUCUUUACACUCUUGUGUCGAUUUAAUAUUAGGAGAAUGUAAACUUUAUUCAAGUAUUAUACAAUCUCAGCAUAUAUAUUAGAAUGUUUCAUUCCAUCAACGUGGAUUGUGGUAUAAUAGUGGGACUGCACCACUCUUAAUCAAAGGUCUCAGGUUCAAGUUUUAGGUAUGAAAAAAAUUUUGUUGGGAGCACUACCCCAGAAUGGGCCCUGCAGCGUGCAAUUCAGAUUAAUCAAGAAUUAAAUAUGAGCAUCAAACACCAAGUGGAAAACCAAAAAAAGAAAAAAAAUGCUUCAAUCCUAGACUAUAGUUAUGAACGACUUGGGUCAAAACUAUGGUCGAGGGAAAAUUUAGAAAAUGAGAAAAUCAUGUGUGGGACUCGGUGGUGUGUGAUAAAUAGCAUGUAUGAAGAAGAGAAGUGGCAAGGAAAGUUAUUGUGGGAAAUCUGUAGUCAUCUCAUCGAUCCCCACUUCUAAGUUUCUCAUCUCCCUUUGUUCCUAUCCUUCGUAUUUCAAUUUAAUCUUUUUAUUUCAUAGUUGACAUGCCUCGUAGUUUAUCUAUAUUGAGUUGAGUUUUAAUUUUCUUUUUAUUGUUUAAGUAAUACAAAGAGGGAUUUGUAAUCGAGUUGCUACGUCUUUGCCUGCCUUCAAGCUAAAUUUUAUAUCCACACUAACAAGGAUUGGAGGUGGAGCGGUGAGUACUUUUUUAGUAUUUUAAUCAAUGAUUUUGGGUCAAUUGUUUGAGCACUAAGUACAGGGCCAGCUCAAUCAACAUGGGACCUAACGCGAAAUCUCAUAGAGUGGCCUUAAGCUUUUUCGUGAAAGAAAAAAUUAUAUACAAUGUGUAUAUCAGUCGAAAAUGCAAAGUUAUUAUUCUGGCCCUUUCAAUUUAUGUGGUACUAACUAACUAGGCACCUUUUUAUUAUUUUUAUUUUAUUUUUUGAAUCUUAUGAUUAAAACAAGUCUUAAAUAUUUGUGUGAUUAUAACAUAUCUCAUUAAAAAAAAAAAAACUUUACGUUAAAUUUUCCAUAUAUAGAAGGUAUCAUUUUUAUUUUAAAACAAACUAAAAAGAAAGUGCGCUAGAUAAACUGAAAUAGAAAGUAUGAAAAUUAUACCUUAUUCUUUAAAAGACUAAUUUUAGUUUUUUUUUAAAAAAAAAAAAAUUACUUAUAGACUUUAAUAGGUAUAUAAAUAUUUAGGCCUCCAAGAACAUGAGGCCUAAGGCGCCUGCUUUAGCAUCUUCAGCCUUUGGCUGGCACUAACUAGGUAUAGAGUUACCUUUUAUAAAGAGUGAUCUAUCUUUUCAACAAGAACGUAUUACGUAGCUUUUGCUUAUAUGUUGUCGUUAUAUUAAAAAAUUCAUCGAACAUACAUAAAUAUAUAAACUGUGAAUUACUAUCUACUAGUAAAUAAAACGAGCUACAACUUUGAAGAGAAUUUCAUAACUCAUAAGUUUCAAAUCUUCUUUAACCGAACCUUAUGAGCAGAAGAGAAGUGUUUGGCUGCACUAACCAUUGUUUCUUCUGCUACCAAAUGACAUGUUGUUACAAUAUUUGAAUUUUUCACCUUUUUGGUAUCAUCCUCAAUAAUAUAGAAGCAUAAAACUUGUUAACUUUCUCCUUAUCCUUCAUUUUCUUCUAGUAAUAACUAGAAUAAUUAUAUAUAUUUAAGCUAUCAUCCUUGAUGUACGUUGUUGCACUUCAAGGCCUUUUUUAUGUGGAAAUGGAAUGUCACAUGGAAAGAUGUUCGAUAAUUUUUAUUGAUCAAUUGUUAUAGCCCUCUGUAGAAGUACUUAAACACUUGUUGGCCUCUAUUUUAUCGAAUGAACAUAUUUUUGCACUUUCGCUUUACUAAUGAGACCGGGAUAACCCUACGUUGUGGGAAAACUGAUUUCGUAUCCAUCCUCUCCUCAAUAACAUAUAUAGAAACUGUUAUUGAUGUUACGGUAGUAGUAACUAGAAUGCUGAUGUAAUAGUUAGACUAGAGGGUAAUAUAGUCAUUACACUAGUCACAUGGGCGGUUACCAAUUCUGCUAUAUAUAUAAAUAGCCCCAAUGUAACUGAAAAAGUAGAUUCAAUGAAAAUCAAUUUUCUCUCCAUUACUCAUAGUUGACUGCUUCAACUGACAACUACAAAGCAUCUACAACUCAUUUUCUCAUGGUACUUGCGUACAUCAGUCUCUAGAUCAAUCCUGGUUGAGAUCACUAUUGAUGAAGCUUGGUAGAAAGGUCGACCAUGGUAGAAAGUGGAGCUACUCAGAUUGGACAAUCACAGACCACACAAAUAGAUUACAAUCAUCCAUUAUUUCUACAACCUAGUGAUACUCCAGGCUCUGUGCUUAUUGGAUUGAAAUUAACGGGACCAGAAAACUUCACAUUGUGGAGUCGAUCUCUCACAAUUGCGUUGUUAGGAAAGAACAAAUUAGGGUUCAUCGACGAAAGUUGCUUACGAAGUUAGUACAAACCAAACGACAGUGGGAUCGAUGCAAUGCUCUAGUUUUAUCGUAGAUAAGUUGUACAGUUGCACCUGAGCUGGUCUCGAGUAUCGUAUUGGCUUCUACUGCAAAAAAGGUAUGGGAAGACUUCAAAGAGAGAUUUGACAAGUCGAAUUUCACUAGAGUUUAUCAAUUAUGGAGAGAAAUUGCAACUCAUACUCAAGGUACAGAUUCCGUAACAACGUAUUUCUCAAAAAUGAAAGACUAUUGGGAUGAAUUGGAUUUGUUAGUACCUACUCCACCUACUUGUGAUUGUGAUGAAUCAGCACCUUAUAUUGCACAUUUGAACAAUCAACGUUUGUUGCAAUUUCUCAUGGGGUUAAAUGAAAGCUAUAGUCAUGUGCGAAGUGAUAUUUUGUUGAGAAAUCUAAUUUUGUCUUUAAACCAAGCAUAUGUUGUGGUUGUGCAAGAGGAGAGCCAGAGAAUACUGGGUGUAGUUGACAUCAACAGAGAAUCUUUGAGUCUAUUUGCAGGAAAGAAACAAGUCUAGAAUUACAAGCCAAAGAAAUUUGGUAACAAUGCACAUAAUGAAUCAGGAGAUACUUAUUGUAGCUGUGGUUAUAAGGGGCAUUUGACAGAGGAUUGCUACAGAAAUGUGGGUUAUCCAGCUGACUUCAAGAGUAAGAAGAAAAUGCAUGGAGCAGAAUGGAGAAGAUAUGCUCAUCAUGUUGUUGCUGAUGAGCCAGUUCCCGGUGCCGGCCAAUACUUGUCAAACAGUCAGUAUGAACACUAUAAGAAGCUCCAAGAAAGGGAGAAGCAGGACUUGUCUAGACCAGAUGAAGCCACAAUCAGUUACUCCUCUAAUAUGGUAGGUAUAUUUGCUUUACUGUCUAAAACAGAUGGUUGUGACUGGAUAGUGAAUUCUAGAGCCUCACAUCAUAUUACCUCUCUUAGAAAAGUUCUAAAUAACCUCAAGCUCGUUGAUAAAAGCAUAAGUAAUGCAGUACAAGUACCAACUGGUAGUAAGUACAAUAUAUCUCACAUAGGAGACACAGUAAUAUUGAAGAACCACACUCUUAAGAAUGUCUUGUUUGUUCCAGAUUUUAAGUUUAAUCUGUCAUUUGUCUCCAAACUGACAAAAAAGUUGUGUUGUUCAGUCAACUUCUAUGCAAAAUUUUGUGUGUUUCAGGCACUUUACAGUGGCAAGGUAUUGGGGAUCGGUAAAGAGAGUGAUGGCUUGUAUUGGUUAAAGUAAGAUGAUUCUAUUAUAGCUUGUGCAGUUUUACAGACUAAUAUUGAUUCUGAAGUUUGGAAUUUGAGACUAGGACAUCCCUCAAUAGAGGUUUUCAAGCAUAUUCCCUUCAUGAUGAACAAAAUAAAUAAAGAGACACAACAAAGCUGCGUGAUCUGUCCGCAGGCAAAACAAGCCAGGUUCAAAUUUCCUAUGAGUGAAAGCAAGACCAGUGCAAUGUUUCAACUCAUUCAUGUGGAUGUUUGGGGUCCCUUCAAGGUCCCUACCUAUUAUCGAAAGUUUUAUUUUGUUACUAUAGUAGAUAAUUUUAGCAGGUAUACUUGGGUGUGCCUGAUGUAAUCUAAAUCCGAGGUCAUUGUUGUACUUAAAGAUUUCUUACUUAGAGUCAAGACUCAAUAUAAUGCUGUUGUAAAAAUUGUGAGAUCAGAUAAUGAAAGGGAAUUCUUCAAUACUGGUUGUCCAGACUUGUUUUCUUCUUAUGACAUUAUUCAUCAAAGCAGUUGCCUAUAUACUCCAAAACAGAAUGGUGUUGUGUAAAGAAAACAUAGACAUAUUUUAGAGUAGCAAGAGCUUUAAAAUUACAAAAUUGCAUUCCAAAUAGAUUUUGGGGUGAUUGUGUGAAUACUGCAAUUUAUUUGAUCAACAAGCUGUCUACUUUUGUCUUUAAUGGUAGAUCUCCUUAUGAAAUACUACAUAAAAAGCCUCAUUUAUUUGAUCACUUGAGGGUGUUUGGUUGUUUAUGUUUUGGAACCGCUUUGCCUAAGAGGGAUAAGUUUUAGCCUAGAGCUAAGAAAGUUGUUUUUAUAGGCUAUGCAGAUACUCAAAAGGGCUAUAAGUUGUUUGAUUUGGAUACACAAACUACAUUUGUAAGUAGAGAUGUUAGUUGUAGGGAAUGUUAUUUCCCUUUUAUAGGUGUCAGAGGUGAAUUGGAUAACAUUUUUUGCUCAGACCAAUUUGAUCUUUCUUUCAUUUCACACGACUGCAUACCUUCACCAGAAGGAAUGGCUCCAGUUAUUAAGCUACAAAUUCCCUCUCCUGAUUCAAAUGUGGAAUCUGGUCGUUCAUCUAGACUUGACUCAGUUAUUGAAGUGGCAGUUGAUCCUGCUUAUUCUGUUGUUCAAACUGAGGAUGUUGUGGCAGACAUACAUCAGCCAACUAAUUUUGUUGUGCAUGGAGAGCUUAGAAGAACUCUUAGGUCCACUAAACCACCUAUAUGGAUGCAAGACUAUAUUGGGAAGAAGCCUGGCAAAACACUCACAGGUCACUUUCUUUACCCUAUUUCAAAUUUUGUUUCUUAUGUUGCUCUGUCUCCUACUUACAAAUCAUACUUGUCAGCUUUCUCUGCGUGUACUGAGCCUCAUUCUUUCAGAGAAGCUUCACAAGAUCCAAGAUUGGUGGAUGUUAUGCAAUAAGAGAUAGCUUCCUUGGAAGCAAAUCAGACAUGGGAAAUAGUCAUACUUUCUACAGGGAAGAAAUCUAUUGGCUCUAAAUGGGUCUAUAAGAUUAUACACAAGGCUAAUGGUGAGGUGGAAAGAUUUAAAGCUAGGCUUGUAGCUAAGGGGUACAAUCAGAAAGAGGGCUUGGACUAUCAUGACACAUUUUCCCCUGUUAUCAAGGUGGUCACAGUGAGACUUAUCAUCAGUGUUGCAGCUUCAAAAAACUGGCCUUUGCUCCAUAUGGAUGUCAAUAAUGCCUUCCUGCAUAGUGAUUUAGAUGAGAAGGUUUACAUAAGUUUGCCUCAGGGAUUUCACCAACAGAGGGAGGAGAAGGUAUGUAGGUUGGUUAAAUCUUUGUACGGUCUCAAGCAAGCUUCCAGGCAAUAAAACAUCAAGUUGACUACAGCCUUGACUAAAGCUGGUUACAUACAAAGUGCCUAUGACCAUUCUUUGUUUACUAAGAGACAGGGUUCAGAGAUUGUGCUUAUUCUUAUAUAUGUAGAUGACUUGGUAAUCACUGGCAGUGAUUCAAAAUUAAUUGAUGAAGUCAAGUCUGUCCUACAUGACAACUUCAAGGUGAAGGACUUGGGAAACUUGAGGUAUUUUCUGGGGAUAGAAGUAACGCGGUCACACAAGGGGAUCCUGCUCAAUCAGGGGAAAUACUGCCUUAAACUAAUUUUAGAGGUUGGUCUUAGUGGUGCAAAAUCAGCUCAUACACAUCUUGAAUCUAAUGGUAAGCUUACCACUGUGGAGUAUGAUAACCAUGUUGGACAUGUCAGUGAUGCAGAACUGGAUGACAUCACUGGAUAUCAAAGAUCGAUUGGGAAAUUGAUCUACCUCAUUAUUACAAGGCCGGAUACAUGUUUUGUUGUGCAAGUAUUGAGUCAAUUCAUGUAAAGACCUAAACAUUCACAUCUAGAUGCAGCAUUGAGGAUUGUCAGGUACCUCAAAGGAAGUCCAGGACUUGGUAUUUUCUAUCCACAAAGAGAGGCAAACACACUCACUUUCUUCUGUGAUUCAGAUUGGGCAUCAUGCCCAAAUACAAGAAGGUCAGUGACAGGCUAUGUGAUAAAGCUGGGAGAUUCACUAAUUUCUUGGAAAUCCAAGAAACAACAAACUGUCAGUAAAAGUUCUACAGAAGCAGAAUAUAGAAGUAUGGCUGCAACUGUUGCUGAAGCAACUUGGGUAAAUGGUUUCCUACAUGAGCUGAAUGUGGAGAUAUCAUCUCCAGUUACAUUGUUUUUUUAUAAUAAAGCAGCAAUCCAAAUAGCUUCUAAUCCUAUUUUUCACGAAAGGACCAAGCAUAUUGAGAUAGAUUGUCACUUUGUUAGGGAAAAAAUUAAGCUUAGACUUAUUAAGUCCUCAAUUCAUUCCUACAUCAUCUCAACUAGCAGAUGUCCUCACCAAGGGCCUCAGUGUUGCUCAAGAUCAGUCAUAUUGGUUUCCAAGCUUGAAGUUCUUGAUCCUUUUCAUACUCCAGCUUGAGGGGGAGUAUUGAUAUUACGGUAGUAGUAAUUAGAAUGCUGAUGUAAUAGUUAGACUAGAGGGUAAUAUAGUCAUUAAACUAGUCACAUGGGCGGUUACCAAUUCUGCUAUAUAUAUAAAUAGCCCCAAUGUAACUAAAAAGUAGAUUCAAUGAAAAUCAAUUUUCUCUCCAUUACUCUUAGUUGACUGCUUCAAUUGACAACUACAGAGCAUCUACAGCUCAUUUUCUCAACUGCCAUUUGAUAAAAUCUAACUAUGACAAUUCGAACGGAGAAGAUUGUCUUGCUUAAAGUAGAAGGGAGGGUGAGACGGCAGGACGUUUUAGCAGCAACGAGCUUUAUGGGUUCCCCAGCUUCUUUGGUGUUCCCCGAUUGUUUUUUUUUAAUAACUGCUGUCAGAUUUUUUGAGAAUAUUAUUUUAUUAAUAUUUAUAUAGCAAGGUUAUGUUUGAAACAAAUUAUAAAUUACGUAUAGCAAUGACCUUAUUCUUUUACAUAAACUUCCUAAAUUUUAAAUUUAUAAUGUUCGUUAAAACUAACUAAUUUGGGGGAAACGAUCCUCUCCAAUAUAAUGUUUUCUAAGAAAAUUUGAUUUAAUUCUAGUUCUCCUUCGUGAACAGAAAAAUUAAUUUCUAGAAUUUGGAUUUGUAAUUUCUUGCCUUUUUAAUUACUUCUAACACAUUCAUAGAACAUAAAAUAAUAGCAAAUAAAAUUGGAAUGCCAAUACAUAUAAAUGAUGUUUUAAAAUAAAUAUAUUUUAACAAACUAUUAAGAUAAAUAGAUAAAAUAUUAAAUGAAAUAUUCCAAGCCUUCAAUGCUUCUCCAUUUCCAUUGAGAAGUAAGAGACAUCCUUUCCCUAUUUGUGGGUUAGUUGAUUGUUUGUUGCUAUUGUAUGAGACAAUUAAGUUGUUUCCUAGCGCUUAGGCUAUAGGAUUAGUGGAAACAGUUUAGAUGAGAAUAAUUAGGUUUAACAGAAUUGUUCUGUUAUUAGUAGCUUUUAUCUAUUUAAGGACUCUUUAAUUAAGAAAUGAUGAGUACUUCUACUUGACGUCCCUUUAUUGUUGUUGAUGAUUUCUAUCAAUGUCACCGCAGGGAAGAUGAAGUCCUCUCUACAUAGAUAAGGUAUUUUUCAACGAACCAUUUCAAGAAGCAUAUUACCCCGGUCACCAGUAGUACAUUCUUUAAUUCCACUGAAUGAUUUCUUCACAGGGUUGAAUGACUUGAUCCAAAAUCUACAACCUUUUCAAUGCAGAAUGACAAAAUCAUAUUGGCACUUAUUCUCGUGGAAAUCAUUUCAAUACGUUUAAUCACUUCUCGGGAAAUGGAAAUCAUUCCAAUGUACUGAAUCCAAACAUGUUCCCUAUGAACUUCAAUGAACCGCAUUUAAGAAGCAUACUUAUCUCAACAACCUACAGUACAUUUUUUAGUUGUUUGUUUCUAUUUCUCGAGUUGAGUGUUGCUUAGAUACAAUCACCUCUGUAGCUCGAUUGCCAAUCUUCUCAAAUCUAAAACCUUCAGAUCUAGUUCAAAUAGAAAGCAAAUUGCACUAUAUAUGUAUCAUACCACUAGAAAAAUUAAGGAAAAAUAACCAACUCCAAUAGUCUUGUUUUUUACCAGAUUGCGCAUCAAUCCCUGUCGAAAUGAUCUUAUUGUCACUAGUAUCUAUGGAAUCAUUCACAUUAAUAAAGCCAGUGUUCAUAGACACAUCAUCAGUUUCAUCUACUGCACUUUCAUCAGCUACAAUAUUACGGAUGCAGCUGUCACACAGUCACCUCUUAUGUCUUAUUGGAACGUCUAGAGGAGGAAGUUGCUCCUCGGGGUUACUACUAUUUGAUCCAAAAGAUGAACAAAUAUUCAUGUCCUUCUUUCUCAUCCCAGCAACAUAUCAACUAUAUCACAAAGAAAAUGACCAACAUAUAUAUUGGAUUAUUUUCUUGUCCAAUCUAAUGGAAGAUAUAAUUUUUCAAACGAUCAUUCAACUACUAGUUAUUAUUUGAAAUUAGCCAGAUAGGAUCUCUGUGCCCAUAAAUGUCGGGGACUGACAACAUUUGAAGAAAUUGCAUCACAUUUGCGAUGUAAACUUACCUCCUUCACCAGGUUGUUGUAUGGCUAUAACGAAUUUGGCAUGAAGAUCCAUUGUCCAUCCAUUAUGUGAGAAUACUAAGAAAACUACACCUAUUUUCCGUGUGAUGACAAAAUCCUGGGUUUCAAGGAAGCAUCUUAAUGUCUAUCAUAGUGUCUAAUUACAUCAAUCAAGAUAUCCAUAUAAGUUUCCUGGUUCUCGAGGUAUUGACUGGGAAAACAAGAUAUAAUUGAAGAAGCACUCAGUCUACCAUCACGCGUCAAUAAAAAUAGAAAUCCGCUAAACAUGGUUGGCUCCUCAAGAGUUACGAGUCUGUGACAACAAAAUCCAUGGCAACCGUGACUCGAGGGGGUUUUAGCAAGCCUGGAGGUCAAGUUUGAAAUUCGUUUCCUGAAAGAGCCCACUGCAACGAUUUUUAGAAACAGCAGGAUAUACAAACCCUCAAAAUCUCAAAAACGCUAAAAUCACUGAACAGAGCAAAAUCUCAAAAACGCUAAAAUGACUGAACAGAGCAAAUAAGCAGUGCAAGCUUCUAAAGCCUAUAAUUUAGGUUCUGGUACGCUUAAGAGUCCUCGUGCUGCAAAUGAGAGUCGAUUGAUGAAUCCACUUAAGGUUUGCUGGUUGUUUU